GCAUGUUUUUAGGCAAAGGCGCUUCAAGAAGAUACCAAGAACUCUUUGGGGAAGGAGAAAUGGGACAGAACUUUCUUGCUAUUGCCACCAGUUCCUCUUGAAUGGCACCACUGAAUGCACCUGGGACCACAGUUCUGCACUAGGAAAAGCAGCUUGAUGAUCUCUGCAGCACAUGGGCACCCUGCAUCACUCCUACCUGCGCCCGCCUGCAGGAGUUGGUCUGCAUGUUUAUGGAAAGCGCUGAGUCUUCAAAGGGCUUUUCAGAAGGCAACUAAUUAAUCCUCACACAUCCCAGAGGCAGAAACACCCGGUCAUCUCCAUACCCAACCUCUCCAAGAGCUCUUGAGCCCAAAGAAGAGGCUGCUCCUUCCUGCUGGUGCAUCUCCCCACCUGGGCCUGCUGUCAGCAUCCCAUCCCUUGGUUGGGAGCUAUCUGGGGCUGUGCAGUGCAUCUCUGUGCUCCCCAUCCUCUGCUUGGAGCUGACAGACGGAUCUGCUCCCACCCUCCACCUGCCCACCAUGCCCACCUCCUCCUCCGUCUGCUGUUUGUGUCUUCCCACUUGCUAACAGCUACCCUGCAGGCUGC
rnacentral:lncRNA from 7 species